rnacentral:rRNA from 1 species
UACGAAGGGGGCUAGCGUUGUUCGGAAUCACUGGGCGUAAAGCGCACGUAGGCGGACUCUUAAGUCGGUGGUGAAAUCCUGGAGCUCAACUCCAGAACUGCCUUCGAUACUGGGAGUCUUGAGUCCGGGAGAGGUGAGUGGAACUGCGAGUGUAGAGGUGAAAUUCGUAGAUAUUCGCAAGAACACCAGUGGCGAAGGCGGCUCACUGGCCCGGUACUGACGCUGAGGUGCGAAAGCGUGGGGAGCAAACAGG